rnacentral:rRNA from 1 species
UGCAGUCGAGGGGCAGCAGGAUCUAGCAAUAGAUUGCUGGCGACCGGCGCACGGGUGAGUAACACGUAUCCAACCUGCCGAUAACUCGGGGAUAGCCUUUCGAAAGAAAGAUUAAUACCCGAUGGUAUAAUUAGACCGCAUGGUCUUGUUAUUAAAGAAUUUCGGUUAUCGAUGGGGAUGCGUUCCAUUAGGCAGUUGGUGAGGUAACGGCUCACCAAACCUUCGAUGGAUAGGGGUUCUGAGAGGAAGGUCCCCCACAUUGGAACUGAGACACGGUCCAAACUCCUACGGGAGGCAGCAGUGAGGAAUAUUGGUCAAUGGGCGCAGGCCUGAACCAGCCAAGUAGCGUGAAGGAUGACUGCCCUAUGGGUUGUAAACUUCUUUUAUAUGGGAAUAAAGUUUUCCACGUGUGGAAUUUUGUAUGUACCAUAUGAAUAAGGAUCGGCUAACUCCGUGCCAGCAGCCGCGGUAAUACGGAGGAUCCGAGCGUUAUCCGGAUUUAUUGGGUUUAAAGGGAGCGUAGGUGGACAGUUAAGUCAGUUGUGAAAGUUUGCGGCUCAACCGUAAAAUUGCAGUUGAUACUGGCUGUCUUGAGUACAGUAGAGGUGGGCGGAAUUCGUGGUGUAGCGGUGAAAUGCUUAGAUAUCACGAAGAACUCCGAUUGCGAA